AGGUGAGUAGGGGCUGAAUGCGGCUGGAGAGGCUGCCAGAGGGGCGUGGCCGGGAGGGAAAUGGGGCUGGAUUCCAGAGCAUCGGACCUGGCCGCCAGAACCGGCAGUUUCCAUCCCAGGCAAUCGGACUCUGGGUGCCGGAGCCACGCCACGUGUGGCCGAGGGCUGGCGGAGCCUGCCCCCAAGGGAGCGCUGAGUCCCGGAGGUGGUCGUUUCUGGGGAGGGGGCUGUGGGGCUCGUCCCACCUGCCCCCUUCUUUCCAGCACUUGCAUGGCGCUUCCCUCUAUUUUCACUCUUGGCGGCCGCCCACACGUUGCAUUCCUCCUCCUUUCUUCUUCUUGCUGUCCUCCAUUCUCCAUUCCGUCCAAUUCCUCUCCCAGCCCCUGGGGAGCCUACCUUAGGUCUGAGUCUGAACCCCGAUCUGCUCUGAGUGUGUGGAUUUCCUUCAGCUACCCUGAUGUCCCCACUUCCCAGUCCUGACUCCUUUGAGCCAUCCCAGGGGGUGUCCAGCCACUGGCCCACAGGAGCAGAGGCCAGGCUGUGACUGUGUGACUAGAAAAGUGUGUGAUGUGUGUGUGGGCGUGCACACGAGUGUGAGAGUGUAAGAAUGGCACCCAGGCCCAGGCUAGGACAGGAGCAGCUGGGGAAGCAGCCUGGAGCCAUGGGCAAUCUGAUGGCUUUUUUCCUCCCCCCGCUUCUGGCCCUACCCAGUCUAAAGCAAUGUGGUAGGGGUGGCGGCAGGGGCAGGGAUGGGAGUGGCUGAAGCCUGCUUCAUUCCCAAAGAUUUCUAGGGAAAAGCUUUCUACUACAUCCUUUGGCUUGACCUUCUUGACCCAUAACCCUCUUUCAAGGAAGUUCACUCCAAUUCCCAGUCUGCCCUGUUUCCACUGGCCACAUUCUCUAAGGAAGAACACAGCAGAACAAUAGCAUCUGUUUUGUUUCUGCAUGGCUGGAGGGUAGGGCUGUGGUCUAGCACCCAUAAACCAAAAUGAGGCAGGGAUUGGGGCUUGCCCUAUGAUGCUCUGAUGACCAAAGCAGAUGGGUAGAGGCAAGCAGCAUGGUAUUGGGCAAGAGGACUGGACUGGGAUUCCAGAGAUGCUGCUUCACCCUGGGCCUUUAGACACAUCUCUUUCCCACCCAGAGCCUCAGCAUCCCUUCUAUCAAAUGAUGACAUUCUGCCUUUUUCCCAGGGUGGUUGUGGGGAUGGAGGGAGACAGUGGCUAUAGGGAUGCUGUGUUAACUGCAGAUGCAGCCAUAGGAGCACUUUUCUAACUGCCAACGUGAGUUCAGAUUCUUCAGGGUAUUUGGCACCCAGGUCUAUGGUGCGGUGUGAGAUAUGUGAUGUAAGGUUUGAUGCCUGCCCCAACUCCAGUCUUGCUAACACACAUGAAACAUUUGGCAAAUCAUGACCCUACCUUGGGGAAAAGAGCAGUCUGGGAGAGCUUCUUCAAGGCAACCUGACUUCAGUGCAGUCUGAGGCAUGGCUGAGAUAGGCUUACGUGGCAAGGAAUCGGGAGGGUAUCUGGGUCAAGAGCUGCACUGUGGGCAGAGGUGUAGUGUGGGCUGCAUCGAGGACAGCCACUGGACAAAGCAGAGAACAGAGACAGAAUGAGGAAGAGCUCUGUGGGGAGGGUGGGGCAUAAGGUGGAGAACCUUCAAAGUCCGAAAAGUUUGACUUGUUGGGGCUCAAUGCUGUAGGCAGUAGGGAACCACAGAAGGCUCUUAGGUGGAGAAAUGACAGCUGGACAUUAGCGAGCAAGCCCUAUCUCCAUGAGCAGCACGGGUGGUCCUCUGAGCACACCAGGCACGAGUGUGCAGGGAGCUAGUGCAAAUGCCUCUGUGUGCGGGUGAGCUUCUGUGUUGUGACUGCCCACACGUGUGCUUCAGUGUGCUGAGUGGCUGCAUGCCCCAGAUCCGUGCUGCACGCGCCGCCGGCCAGUAAGGGUGCUGGGCACUGGGAGGUGGCGGGGAAGGAGGCGUAUGCGUGUUGUUUGUGGGCAUGUGUGUUAGCGUGUGCAUGUGGGCCAUGGGGCCUCACAGCAUGUGUGUGCACGCCCGGGCGUGUGCGUGUGUGUGUCCCCCACCCCCAGGCCUGCCCCACCCGUGCGUGUGAACUGCCAUGUUGAUUUCGUGCUGUCUUUCAGAAUCACUAUCAGUGACCCCUGAGGAGCGUCAGCCAUGCAGGAAGGGCCCAGCCUCACCUACGCGACCUGCAGCCCCCCGACCAGCUGAGGCUCCCCUCUUAGACUUAUAAGUCUAUGGCCACUGGCAUCCGGCUGCCUGCCCUCCCUGCCUCCCCCAGGGUCCCUUCAGAGGGUCCUGGGUUUUCUGACCACCCAGAGGGGCCUCCGGCGCUCCCUCCAGCCAUCCUUUUUAGUUUCACCCUCCUGGUUCAAGCAGUGUUCUUUCUCUAUCAGGCCUGGUGGCUGUUGCGUGGGGCUCCCCAAGGCAAGGGGUGGCCCCAGGCCAGUGGGUUGGAAGACAGGGUGACCAGAGAAGAGGGAAGCCCGAGGGGGCCGAGCAUCAGCCUGAACGGCGGGUGCCCUGCCUGGGUGCCGUGUGAGAGGCCAGCGUGUGUGGGGUGGGGAGGGCCGCCACAGCCCCCAGGCGCUAUCUGUGAAGCUACGGCUCCUCCCUCCAUCUUCCUCCCCUUUCCCUUCCAGCCCCUCUUUUCCAGGAACCUUGCCACACCCACACCUGCGCCCUCCCCUCCCCGGCCCUCCCACCACUGCUGCGGCGCGGCCGGCUGGCCGUGUGCUGUGCUUGCCUUACCAGCUCUCUCCUCGCUUUUCUCUCUCCCGUUUUCUCUCUGCUUUCUCUCCAACUGCCAGCCGAUCGGGUCAGGCAAGUCCAUCCCGUCCUGAGAGCCCCAGGCCCCCCUUCGACCUCUAAACAGAUCCCUCCUCUUCUCGGAGACCUCCCUUUCCAAGCCUGCCUGGACGGCUGUUCUGUGACUUGACAGUGGCUCCCCCAGCCCCAAAGCCAGCCCCCUUCAUCUGUGACUUAGUCUGUUGUAGUGGUGAGCUGAUACACUCAGGUGUGACCGUUGGUGAAAACUUGUGCCCCUUCUGUGGUAUGCCCUUGCCCUGUUCUAUAUCUAUAAAUACUCAUAUAUAUACACACCUACACAUGGCCAACCGCCUCGCCUCUAGCGCUGGGAAUCAGUCACUGUGCUAUCCUUGUGGAGUCUUGUGGCCCAACUACAAGAGAACGCUGUCCCCCGCCAUCCCAUUCCAAAGUGUGCCACCUCCAGUGAGCCUCCUUGUCAUGCCCGGCCUGUGGACAGCCAGCCCCCGCCAUCCCUCCCACCCCCUACCAAGCAUGGGGGUGCUGUGCAGGCAGCCGUGUGGCCUGACAGUCUCUACCAGUCCUGCUGUCCCUCGGCUGAGAAUAAAACCCAUUUCUGGAUGAUGGGGAAUGUC
rnacentral:sRNA from 1 species